UACGAAGGGGGCUAGCGUUGCUCGGAAUCACUGGGCGUAAAGGGUGCGUAGGCGGGUCUUUUAAGUCAGGGGUGAAAUCCUGGAGCUCAACUCCAGAACUGCCUUUGAUACUGAGGAUCUUGAGUACGGGAGAGGUGAGUGGAACUGCGAGUGUAGAGGUGAAAUUCGUAGAUAUUCGCAAGAACACCAGUGGCGAAGGCGGCUCACUGGCCCGUAACUGACGCUGAGGCACGAAAGCGUGGGGAUCAAACAGG
rnacentral:rRNA from 1 species